rnacentral:rRNA from 1 species
UACGGAGGGGGCUAGCGUUGUUCGGAAUUAUUGGGCGUAAAGAGCUCGUAGGCGGUGUGUCACGUCGGCCGUGAAAACCUGCAGCUUAACUGUGGGCGUGCGGUCGAUACGGGCAUCACUGGAGUUCGGCAGGGGAGACUGGAAUUCCUGGUGUAGCGGUGAAAUGCGCAGAUAUCAGGAGGAACACCGGUGGCGAAGGCGGGUCUCUGGGCCGAUACUGACGCUGAGGAGCGAAAGCGUGGGGAGCAAACAGG